AACGAACGCUGGCGGCAGGCUUAACACAUGCAAGUCGAGCGCCCCGCAAGGGGAGCGGCAGACGGGUGAGUAACGCGUGGGAAUCUACCUUUUGCUACGGAAUAACUCAGGGAAACUUGUGCUAAUACCGUAUGUGCCCUUCGGGGGAAAGAUUUAUCGGCAAAGGAUGAGCCCGCGUUGGAUUAGCUAGUUGGUGGGGUAAAGGCCUACCAAGGCGACGAUCCAUAGCUGGUCUGAGAGGAUGAUCAGCCACAUUGGGACUGAGACACGGCCCAAACUCCUACGGGAGGCAGCAGUGGGGAAUAUUGGACAAUGGGCGCAAGCCUGAUCCAGCCAUGCCGCGUGAGUGAUGAAGGCCUUAGGGUUGUAAAGCUCUUUCACCGGUGAAGAUAAUGACGGUAACCGGAGAAGAAGCCCCGGCUAACUUCGUGCCAGCAGCCGCAGUAAAAC
rnacentral:rRNA from 1 species